rnacentral:rRNA from 1 species
UACGGGGGGAGCAAGCGUUGUUCGGAUUUACUGGGCGUAAAGGGCGGGUAGGCGGCCACCGCAAGUCAGUUGUGAAAUCUCCGGGCUUAACCCGGAAAGGUCAACUGAUACUGCGGGGCUAGAGUGCAGAAGGGGCAACUGGAAUUCUCGGUGUAGCGGUGAAAUGCGUAGAUAUCGAGAGGAACACCUGCGGCGAAAGCGAGUCCCUGGACAACUUCUGACGCUGAGGAGCGAAAGCGUGGGGAGCGAACAGG